GAUGAACGCUGACGGCGUGCCUAAUACAUGCAAGUCGAGCGAACGGACGAGAAGCUUGCUUCUCUGAUGUUAGCGGCGGACGGGUGAGUAACACGUGGAUAACCUACCUAUAAGACUGGGAUAACUUCGGGAAACCGGAGCUAAUACCGGAUAAUAUUUUGAACCGCAUGGUUCAAAAGUGAAAGACGGUCUUGCUGUCACUUAUAGAUGGAUCCGCGCUGCAUUAGCUAGUUGGUAAGGUAACGGCUUACCAAGGCAACGAUGCGUAGCCGACCUGAGAGGAUGAUCAGCCACACUGGAACUGAGACACGGUCCAGACUCCUACGGGAGGCAGCAGUGGGGAAUAUUGGACAAUGGGCGAAAGCCUGAUCCAGCCAUGCCGCGUGUGUGAUGAAGGUCUUCGGAUCGUAAAGCACUUUAAGUUGGGAGGAAGGGAAGUAAGUUAAUACCUGGCUGUUUUGACGUUACCAACAGAGUAAGCACCGGCUAACUACGUG
rnacentral:rRNA from 1 species